rnacentral:lncRNA from 1 species
GGCUGCAAUGCGGGUGAUGACCGUUUCACAUUCCUCCUCUGCCAGAUGUAGAUUUAUGGCCAUCUUCUUUAUAUUCUACUCCAAAGUUAGCAAUAUGUGCUACUUAACACCAUAUAUCUAGAAGAACUUCACCAAGUCUUUGCCCACAAAUUAUGGGCCAUUAUCGGUGACGAUAGAUUGAGGGAAGCCGAAUCGGUAGAUGAUGUUCCUUCAUAUGAAGCACUCUAUGUUUGAUUGAGUAGUGGUGGUCAUGGGCUC